rnacentral:rRNA from 1 species
GAUGAACGCUGGCGGCGUGCUUAACACAUGCAAGUCGAACGAGAAGUGAAGACGGAAACCUUCGGGCGGAAGGCUUUAUUUCGAGUGGCGGACGGGUGAGUAACGCGUGGGUAACCUGCCUCAUACAGGGGGAUAACAGUUGGAAACGACUGUUAAUACCGCAUAAGACCACAGCACCGCAUGGUGCGGGGGUAAAAACUCCGGUGGUAUGAGAUGGACCCGCGUUCGAUUAGCCAGUUGGCGGGGUAACGGCCCACCAAAGCGACGAUCGAUAGCCGAUCUGAGAGGAUGACCGGCCACAUUGGGACUGAGACACGGCCCAAACUCCUACGGGAGGCAGCAGUGGGGAAUAUUGCACAAUGGGGGAAACCCUGAUGCAGCGACGCCGCGUGAGUGAAGAAGUAUUUCGGUAUGUAAAGCUCUAUCAGCAGGGAAGAAAAUGACGGUACCUGAGUAGGAAGCCCCGGCUAACUACGUG